GGAGGGUCAAGCCGACGGAUGGCGACGGCACUCGGUUGCUAGCUGAGCGAGGCCGAAAGGCCCUUGAGGGUUCGAUCCCCUCACCCUCCG
rnacentral:tRNA from 1 species